UACGAAGGGGGCUAGCGUUGCUCGGAAUCACUGGGCGUAAAGGGUGCGUAGGCGGCUUUCUAAGUCAGGGGUGAAAUCCUGGAGCUCAACUCCAGAACUGCCUUUGAUACUGGAAAGCUUGAGUUCGGGAGAGGUGAGUGGAAUUCCUAGUGUAGAGGUGAAAUUCGUAGAUAUUAGGAAGAACACCAGUGGCGAAGGCGGCUCACUGGUCCGGUACUGACGCUGAGGUGCGAAAGCGUGGGGAGCAAACAGG
rnacentral:rRNA from 1 species